GCCUGGGUGGCUCAGUCGGUUGGGCAUCCGACUUCAGCUCAGGUCAUGAUCUCAUGGUCCGUGAGUUCAAGCCCCACCUUGGGCU
rnacentral:tRNA from 1 species